rnacentral:rRNA from 1 species
CAGCAGCCGCGGUAAAACGGAGGGUGCAAGCGUUAAUCGGAAUUACUGGGCGUAAAGCGCACGCAGGCGGUCUGUCAAGUCAGAUGUGAAAUCCCCGGGCUUAACCUGGGAACUGCAUUUGAAACUGGCAGGCUAGAGUCUUGUAGAGGGGGGUAGAAUUCCAGGUGUAGCGGUGAAAUGCGUAGAGAUCUGGAGGAAUACCGGUGGCGAAGGCGGCCCCCUGGACAAAGACUGACGCUCAGGUGCGAAAGCGUGGGGAGCAAACAGGAUUAGAUACCCGAGUAGUCCCUGUCUCUUAUAC